UACGUAGGUGGCGAGCGUUGUCCGGAUUUAUUGGGCGUAAAGAGCUCGUAGGCGGCCUGUUACGUCUGCUGUGAAAUCCCGGGGCUUAACCCCGGGCGUGCAGUGGAUACGGGCUGGCUGGAGGCAGGCAGGGGAGAACGGAAUUCCCGGUGUAGCGGUGAAAUGCGCAGAUAUCGGGAGGAACACCAGUGGCGAAGGCGGUUCUCUGGGCCUGUUCUGACGCUGAGGAGCGAAAGCGUGGGGAGCGAACAGG
rnacentral:rRNA from 1 species